GAGUGAAGCGGGAAAAGCUCAAAUUUAAAAUCUGGCGGUCUUUGGCCGUCCGAGUUGUAGUCUGGAGAAGCGUCUUCCGCGCUGGACCGUGUACAAGUCUCUUGGAACAGAGCGUCAUAGAGGGUGAGAAUCCCGUCUUUGACACGGACUACCAGUGCUUUGUGAUGCGCUCUCAAAGAGUCGCGUUGUUUGGGAAUGCAGCGCAAAAUGGGAGGUGAAUUCCUUCUAAAGCUAAAUAUUGGCGAGAGACCGAUAGCGAACAAGUACCGUGAGGGAAAGAUGAAAAGCACUUUGGAAAGAGAGUUAAACAGUACGUGAAAUUGCUGAAAGGGAAACGCUUGAAGUCAGUCGCGUCGUCCGGAACUCAGCCUUGCUUCGGCUUGGUGCACUUUCCGGUUGACGGGCCAGCAUCGAUUUUGACCGCUGGAAAAGGGCUGGAGGAAUGUGGCACCUUCGGGUGUGUUAUAGCCUUCAGUCGCAUACAGCGGUUGGGAUCGAGGAACGCAGCGCGCCUUAUGGCUGGGGUUCGCCCACAUUCGCGCUUAGGAUGCUGGCAUAAUGGCUUUAAACGACCCGUCUUGAAACACGGACCAAGGAGUCUAACAUGCCUGCGAGUGUUUGGGUGGAAAACCCGAGCGCGUAAUGAAAGUGAAAGUUGAGACCUCUGUCGUGGAGGGCAUCGACGCCCGGACCUGAAGUUUUCUGACGGAUCCGCGGUAGAGCAUGUAUGUUGGGACCCGAAAGAUGGUGAACUAUGCCUGAAUAGGGUGAAGCCAGAGGAAACUCUGGUGGAGGCUCGUAGCGAUUCUGACGUGCAAAUCCGAUCGUCAAAUUUGG
rnacentral:rRNA from 1 species